GUGACACAAGUGGGAGGCAUAGUCAGAGACCAAAGUGGCUGCACAUCACAAAAUGAGUCCUCUCUGGGUCCUGUCCAUGUUGUUCACCAUAACAGAUUCUUUGGAAAUCAUCAAAGCUGCCAGAGGUGGUUCAGUCCUACUACCUUGUGAGCUGACCUUUGGUGAUCAAUAUGAGGGAUUUCAGGUGCGGUGGAGUAAAAAAGGACUUGAAAGAUAUAUAUGUGAAUAUUUCCUAAAUUUGACAGAUGUGAGGCCUGUGCACUGCAUGUCGUCCUUUGAACCCUCAUUGCAGGGUUUGAAUGUUAAAUAUUUUAAAUCUGAUCACUCUGGAUCCUAUAGCUGCUUCAUAACAGGAAUUAUACCGCCCCCCACUAUGGACAUUAAUACCUUUACAGUGGAACUUCGUGCAGACGGUCCAAGCCUUGAGUUAGUGAUUACCACUGAUUCUGGUUUUGUUGAGCUGUUGUGUACAUUUGAUGCUGUAGAUCAAGGGCAAGUUGGUUUUAUCUGGAACUCGAGGGGCAAGAAUAAAUCUGAACAGGUGCAAAUCACCAACAGCUCAUCCAGUGUUAGCAGCUCUCUGCGCUUAUGUGAAGCUGAGAGGAGAGAUGGAGACACCAUUACCUGCAGUGUUUCACAUCCAUCAGGUCACUUUACAUCAAGCUGGACUAUUCAUGAACAGAAUGGGGGUUAUGAAGACAGCAACCGGAUGUUGAAAAUAAUCUGCAUUUGUACUUUAACUGGGACAUUGUUGACGAUUGUCUUGUCUCUCAUUGCAAUAGUAAGAAGAGGAAGAUUCCGGAGAUGAUGCCUCCGUAAUGUUGGGAUUCCCAUCAGAAAAAGCAGAACAGAAACACAGCAUAAACAGACAGUCAGCUUAAAACUGCUUUUCAACUUUUGAUGCAUUCUCAGAAUCAAACUGUUCUCAUCACUCAUGUACUGUAGAACUUCAGUGUGAUACUCCUGCUUCACUUCAAUCAAAAUGAAACCAAGCAUUACUCUGGGUCUUUUGUGUGCACUCUUCUCUAAAGUGGCUGCAUUGACUUGCUAUCAGUGCAUCCCUGAUACCGACCAGAUGUGCAGACAUAAAGAAACCUGUAGUGCAGGAUAUUGUGCUAGCGUCACUGCGAAUUCUUAUGUAGGUAAGAAUAAUCCUUUUAGUGUCAUGCCAUUCCAUGGUCUUUUACUGGUGCAUAAUUCUGCCUGUACUAUGAUCAAUUGUUUGCUUUCACUGAUAGGUGGUAAACAAGGGGUAGCAAAUGGUAAAUGGAAAGUAAGAGAUAACGCAAAUUCGAAGAGGUUUUUAUCAUCAGAGAAUUGCACCUCUUGGUCAGUAAGCUACGGAACUUAUAGGACAACCUUGAGCACCAAAUGCUGCAAGACUGACCGCUGCAAUUCUGAGAACACUCCAGGUAUGUUUCGUUUGUCUGCACUGUCUUGGGGUGACAGCAGUAACCUCUUUGGUUCCACACCUACAGUAGGUUUUCCAUAAUUCCAUGAUAUAUUCAUUUAAUGUGUGUGAACACUCAUAUGUUCUGUUUAAGUUCUAAGAAAUUAGCAGCACCUACUGUACAGUAUGAUCAAAAAGUUUUUUUUGUAAUUGAAUUUGCUUGUUUUCUCACAAAAAGAGAAAAUGAUCAUAUCAUCAUAAAUGUGAUCUCACAGGGGUAAAUAACAAUACAUUAUGUUCAUAUCAUUUGGUAACUGAGCUAAAGUAAACAUCUGCUAUGUUAACAUUGUGAUGGCUGUAUUGAUUUAAAAGCCUAAUGUGUGUGUGUGUGUGUGUUUUAGAGCUAAAUCCAAAUACUCUCAAUGGGAAGAAGUGUUUCACCUGUGAGAGAGGCAAUUGCACAAAAAUGAUGUCCUGCUUUGGAAACGAGGACAGGUGUUUCAAAGCUGAUAUUAAGAACAGCACAGACAUUCUGAAAGGAUGUGCCUCUAGCAAUAUCUGCAUCGUCACUCACAUUGGCUCUAGAAUUAUCAACAUAAACUGUUGUGAGGGAAACCUGUGCAACAGUGACAAAAGCG